rnacentral:rRNA from 1 species
UACGUAGGGAGCGAGCGUUGUCCGGAUUUAUUGGGCGUAAAGAGCUCGUAGGCGGCUUGGUAAGUCGGAUGUGAAACCUUCACGCUCAACGUGGAGACGCCAUCCGAUACUGCUAUGGCUUGAGUCCGGUAGGGGCCCCACGGAAUUCCCUGGUGUAGCGGUGAAAUGCGCAGAUAUCAGGAGGAACACCGGUGGGCGAAGGCGGUGGGCUGGGCCGGUACUGACGCUGAGGAGCGAAAGCGUGGGGGAGCGAACAGG